GAUAGGCUGCAGAAGCGAGCAUUACUCUCUCUGCUGUCAUGGAGAUGCACAAAGCAUGUUCUGUUGGAUUAUUACAGCCUGAUUACUGUCUGACACGUGGAAUCAAGAAAUCCUUUAAUUAGAACCUGUCAGACAACAUGAAGUAGGCUAAAAGACCGCAAAAGGAUACACGUCAUUCAUAAAUACAUCCAAGAAGAGAUGAGAGACAAAGCCAUUGCCAUCUGCUAUUCUGGAGAAGGUUACAAAGCCAUUCUCUGGACAAAACAGAAGUGUAACUAUUUGACGGCCAUCGGACAGAUGUUGCAUGACUACAGCUUCUUGAACACCUCCUGCCCACAAGCUCAGUUUUCCUGCAAACGAAAACAAAUGAACCGAUGAAAACACGGCUGAACGAGGAAGUGAAGCCGCGACGUUCUCGACGUUGCACGGCUUCUUCACCUCUUU